CCGCGUGAGCGAUGAAGCCCUUCGGGGUGUAAAGCUCUUUCGUCGGGGAAGAUAAUGACGGUACCCGGAGAAGCAGCUGCGGCUAACUACGUGC
rnacentral:rRNA from 1 species